rnacentral:rRNA from 1 species
CCUACGGGCGGCUGCAGUGGGGAAUAUUGGACAAUGGGGGCAACCCUGAUCCAGCCAUGCCGCGUGUGUGAAGAAGGCCCUCGGGUUGUAAAGCACUUUCAGUGAGGAAGAACGCCUGGUGGUUAAUACCCAUCAGGAAAGACAUCACUCACAGAAGAAGCACCGGCUAACUCCGUGCCAGCAGCCGCGGUAAUACGGAGGGUGCGAGCGUUAAUCGGAAUUACUGGGCGUAAAGCGCGCGUAGGUGGCUUGAUAAGCCGGUUGUGAAAGCCCCGGGCUCAACCUGGGAACGGCAGCCGGAACUGUCAAGCUAGAGUGCAGGAGAGGAAGGUAGAAUUCCCGGUGUAGCGGUGAAAUGCGUAGAGAUCGGGAGGAAUACCAGUGGCGAAGGCGGCCUUCUGGACUGACACUGACACUGAGGUGCGAAAGCGUGGGUAGCAAACAGGAUUAUAUACCCCAGUAGUC